GAUGAAGAACGUAGCGAAAUGCGAUAAGUAGUGUGAACUGCAGAAUUCCGUGAAUCAUCGAGUCUUUGAACGCACAUUGCGCCCCCUGGUAUUCCGGGGGGCAUGCCUGUCCGAGCGUCAUUGCUGCCCAUCAAGCACGGCUUGUGUGUUGGGUCCCGUCCCCCUCUCCCGGGGGACGGACCCGAAAGGCAGCGGCGGCACCGCGUCCGGUCCUCGAGCGUAUGGGGCUUUGUCACCCGCUCUUGUAGGCCCGGCCGGCGCUUGCCGACACCCAACCAUUUUUUUCAGGUUGACCUCGGAUCAGGUAGGGAUACCCGCUGAACUUAAGCAUAUCAAUAAGCGGAGGA
rnacentral:misc_RNA from 1 species